rnacentral:rRNA from 1 species
CCUACGGGAGGCAGCAGUGAGGAAUAUUGGUCAAUGGCCGUAAGGCUGAACCAGCCAAGUCGCGUGAAGGAAGAAGGAUCUAUGGUUUGUAAACUUCUUUUAUAGGGGAAUAAAGGUAUCCACGUGUGGAUAUUUGCAUGUACCCUAUGAAUAAGCAUCGGCUAACUCCGUGCCAGCAGCCGCGGUAAUACUGAGGAUGCGAGCGUUAUCCGGAUUUAUUGGGUUUAAAGGGUGCGUAGGUUGUUUUUUAAGUCAGCGGUGAAAGUUUGUGGCUCAACCAUAAAAUUGCCGUUGAAACUGGAAGACGUGAGUGUGUUUGAGGUAGGCGGAAUGCGUGGUGUAGCGGUGAAAUGCAUAGAUAUCACGCAGAACUCCGAUUGCGAAGGCAGCUUACUAAGCCAUAACUGACACUGAAGCACGAAAGCGUGGGGAUCAAACAGGAUUAGAUACCCGAGUAGUC